rnacentral:rRNA from 1 species
GAUGAACGCUGGCGGCGUGCCUAACACAUGCAAGUCGAGCGAUCUUCUUCGGAAGAGAGCGGCGGACGGGUGAGUAACGCGUGGGUAACCUGCCCUGUACACACGGAUAACAUACCGAAAGGUAUGCUAAUACGAGAUAAUAUGCUUUUAUCGCAUGGUAGAAGUAUCAAAGCUCCGGCGGUACAGGAUGGACCCGCGUCUGAUUAGCUAGUUGGUAAGGUAGCGGCUUACCAAGGCGACGAUCAGUAGCCGACCUGAGAGGGUGAUCGGCCACAUUGGAACUGAGACACGGUCCAAACUACUACGGGAGGCAGCAGUGGGGAAUAUUGCACAAUGGGCGAAAGCCUGAUGCAGCAACGCCGCGUGAGCGAUGAAGGCCUUCGGGUCGUAAAGCUCUGUCCUCAAGGAAGAUAAUGACGGUACUUGAGGAGGAAGCCCCGGCUAACUACGUGCCAGCCGCCGCAGUAA